UCUCAUGGCCACUGACCUGUUCUGAG
rnacentral:misc_RNA from 1 species